AGGACCUAGAGAAAGACAAAACGGGAGUCUCCUUAGGGGCAAGGCAAGUUCAUCGACUUCAUAAAGACACCAAAGAUGUGUUCCGAAGCUCAAUUCAUGCACAUUCAAGAAUGAAGGCAAUGGGUUUUCAUUGGAAAAUCUACCCCAAAUUAAUCUAUUUCUAACAGGGGCUGUCACUGAGUUGUAGAGUGUUUGCCCAGCAUGUACAAGAUUGUGCUUUGAGCCCCGAUGUUGCAAACAAGAAGAUGCUGUAAAGGUCUGUUGUAGGCUACAUGACCUACUGUUUAACUCCGAAGUCUAAUGCUAGCCGGAUCAUUGCAUUUGGCACAUGUCUGAUACUGGUGCAGGAAGCCAUCCCUGUACCUCUGAGAUAGGAAAGCACAGGAAGCUGGGUGCAUUCUGCUUUUCAGCAAUACCACAGAUAGUGCAUUGGAUAUAAUUAAAUUCCACAGAACUAAAGGAAAGGGACACCAUAGACCAGAACUUUUUUUUUUCUUCUUUUGGUUCUUUUUUUUUUUUUUUUUUUUCGGAGCUGGGGACCGAACCCAGGGCCUUGCGCUUCCUAGGCAAGCGCUCUACCACUGAGCUAAAUCACCAACUCCAGACCAGAACUUUUAAAAUAAACUUGCUUUGUUUCUCUUUUGGAGUGGAGUAGGAUGUUGUUAAAUAACUCUGCAAAUGUCAAUAAUGUGGGAGGCAAAGGAAGGAGGACCAAGAAUGAGGAACUAGCCUGGGCUACAGGGUAAGAGCUUGGCUGAAAACAAGCAAGCAAACCCCUCAAUAUCACUAAAGCAAAGCAAUCUUAGUUCUAGUUAAUUGUAGCAUUGGGGAUUGAACCCAGGAUCUUGUGUAUGCAGGGCAAGCACUCUACCACUGGGCUACAUUUCCACUCUUAAAUUAUUGUUUUUCAUCACCAACUUUUAUAUGCAAUACAGAAGUGAAAUGCUGUACUCGAUGAGAUUGGGAAAACAAGACUGUGUACUCUGGAAACUGGAGACUGAGAAUGGUGGCAAGCCCUCCCCAGGGUCUGGCUCAGUUUGUGCAGGUGAAUUCAUUGCACACAUAUGUCUCAUUGGCCUAAGCACAGGAUGAUGGGGCCAUCCUUAAGCUCAAGUUCUGGAUGCACUAGUGGCUGGUGAAGACAGCAGUUGAAAACAGCUCCCUGAGCAGAAGAUGCUGAGGGCGGAAUUGAACCUGUGUGAGAGCUGCCUCCGUGUGCUUUGAAAGGCUCUUCUGCCCCGUUAGGAGAGGACAUGUGAGCACAAGGAGCUCAGACAGUAAUGCACCUUAUUCUGAUGCUUACUUCCCCAGGGAUCUAUGGACACCAAGCAGUCUUCAUCCCCAGAGUUACCAUGCACAGAAUGUGACGAAUUCUGGAAUGAUCUAGUGCUGGCUUCCAUGUGGUCCAGUGCUUAUUUCAAUGCCAUGCACACAGCUUAGGAAGUCACUGCUUUUUCUUUCUAUUUUUUCCAUCUAUUUAUUUACUAAUGUAUUCAUUGUGCAUGUGUGUGUGUGUGUGUGUAUGUGUGUGUGUGUGUGUGUGUGUGUGUGCGUGCGCGUGCAAUCAUGCAUGGAGGUCAGAUGACAAUUUGUGGGAGUCACCUCUCUCCUUCUAUUCUGUGGGUCCCAGGAAUUAAACUCAAGGUAACAGGCUUGGAGGCGAGCCUCUCUUCCUGCUGAACUAACUCACAGGCAGACAUUGUUAGGUUUACUAACCUGUUAGGAAUGUUUACAUGACUGAGUGCAUCAAGUAUCUGAGGCCCUGUUCCUAAGUCUUUGCAUACUGACAGAGGUGUCUAUCUCUUGGUGGUGGGUGGAGUUAGAAGCAAGAAUGGGUUGAGUGAAUGGGUUGGGGUCUCACUGAAUGAGGAAAGUGAUUCGGGUGAUUUGCAUAGCUGCUUUGGCCAGUAUAUCAGGCAUAUAAAGGAGGAAAGGUGUUCCCUGGCCAAGGCUGGGGCUGAGAACAGUUUAAAAAGUCUUAACAGUGUGUAACAAUCCCUCCGAGGCAGUGUGAUCCAUGAGUGUUUCUAGCCUUUAAACUCUUGAAAAGCUCUUAGUGGUGUUGUGGCUGGAGCACAGAUAGGUGCUAUGUGGGCUGGAUGAGUAAUUUGUUGACUAAACAAUGAACAAAGCCAUGAGCCACUUCCAGGUACAGAGAGGUGGGGGACGUUUGGCCUGCUGCCUCUUAACAGAGCUCAGUGUCCCAGAGCUCCGCUGGGAAGACUGAGGUGAGGCACCCUAGCAAAGCUUACCUGCUAGAGUUGUUGUCAGAGGGCAGUGGCCCACCGGCCUCAGCCUGUGGGAAGCCGACUGAUGGUCAGCACAUUGAGACAAGAUGGAAACAGCAUCCAUCAGUGUCACAGGCAUAGAGCAUGCCACAUGGUCUAAACCAAAAUCCGGAGUCCCAGCUUCAUGUUUCCUUCUCCCCAAGAUGUUUCCACCUCAGAACAAUGACAAUUCUUCUCCAGUUCUGUUAAAACCUCGUAGGGCUUCUUACAAACCCUAGCCAUAGUCAGAAACACUGAGCCAGCGCUUAGAGACUUUCAGCUGCUUUCGCCCUCACUCUGUAACCUGCCUCCUUGUUUCUCCAUGUGUCUGCGGCUAGAGGUUUUGUCAGUUUGUCUUUUUUUUUUUUUUUUUUUGAGACAGGGUCUCAUGUAGACAGAUGUAGACAGAGUUGGCCUUGGACUUGCUAAUUAGCUGAAGAUGAAGGAUUCCUUUUAAAUUUUAUUUAAUUUUAUUUCUAUUCACAUGCACGUUUGCUUGUCAGUAUGUGCCUCACUCACUAACAAAGAUUGCCCACGGAAGCCAGGAGAGAAGAUCCCCAGAGCUUGAAUUGCAGGCAGUUGUGAUUUCUGAUUCUCCUGCCUCAAACUCCAAGUACUAGAAUUAUAGAUAGGUAUGCACCACAGCUUAUGUGGGGCUAAGAAUCAAACUCAGUGCCAAAUGCAUGCUGGGUAAGCACUCUGCCGACUGAUCUGUGUCCUUGGGCCCUGGAGUAUUUAUUUUGAAACAUAAGUUAUGGCUGCUCAGUCUUCUACUCAAAAUCCUCCAUUGGCUUUCCACUUGUCUCACAUCAUCAAAUGAACCCAACACCAAACAAUACCCCACAGAAGACCCGGAGUGCUGGCAGCACUCUCUGAGGCUCCCUAGGACUGUCCCCUAUUGUGCUAGCCCAUGCUCACUCUCUGACUCCCUUUCUAUAGCACUCAAAUGUGCCAAGGGCACCCCACUGUGGGCUCUUUAUGAUGUCAUCAUCCUGGCUGGGAGACCACUAGGGGCUGCGUCUGAAGUGCAGCCUCACAAGGUUUGGACAUUGGAAGCCUGGUCCCCAGCUGCUGGGCAGAGAAGCCGACCUCGUCGAUUCCUUGAUUCACUGAUGAGUUCACACCAAAUGGGCUGUUGGGAGCUAAGUCUGGUGGGAGAAGGAGGUAGCUCACGUGAGUGUGUAGCCUCAGGGUACUUAGGCCUACUUCCUGUCCUGUUUCUUGCCACUGUGAGAUGAGCAACUUUUCUCUACCACACUCGUCAGCCAUGAUGCUCUACUCACUAGAGCUCAAGAAACAAUGGAACCAGGUUGCUGCUCCUAGUUCCUUGCCUCUGAAGGAGUAUCCUUGUUUGAAGUGGGCAUGGGCAAGAGUAACAUCAUCUCUGGAACAGGAAGCAAAAGGCAAGGUGAGUGGACUGGUGCAUGAAUGGUAAUGAGGUCCCUCAGCUCACCAUGCUGGCUUCUCUGAAAAAGUUCUAUGGGGUGACUAGAAGCUGUUUGUGUCGCCACAGUUGACUAACUCGAGUCUCUCAAUGGAACCCGUGAUAGAGGAGAGACUAUGGUCAUUGCUGGGGUGGGGCAGUGUAACCACUGUGAUUUAGAAGCAAGAAGUCUUCAAUAUCCCACGAGAUAAACUAAGAGAGGCACUACCUUACCCUUUUCUGUAAGCUACACUACUGGCUCUCUGCUGGGGCGAUUCUGAUAACCAGAUGGCCUUAGGCUAGGAGACAUUAUUUGUUGCUAUGGCGGGGGUGGGUGCGGGUAAAGGAUGGGGGAGGUAAGUGGGGGGGGUGGGGGAGGAGAACCACUAGCCCUUGGUGGGGAGAGGCCAGGAAGCUGAUUAAAGUCCUUCAUUGUACAGGUCAGCCCAACACCAGAGAAUCACUUGGCCCCAGAUGUUAGCAGUGCAGAGAGGGAAGACGAGGGCUUGCAGAACUCAUUCAUUCAUUCAGUAACCUAAGAGCAUGCUCCUUAGUACUUUGCAGUGCUCAACCCGAGAUCCCGGGCUGGCCCCAUGCUUGCUCAUGUGCUAUAUGUAACAUGAAGCUCACAGUAUCGCAGGGUAUGUAUGAGAUCUUAGUAAGAAGUUUAACCUACUAGGCCUUCGGACGUGACUUGCGGGUCAAAUGAAAUCAUGCAAUGACUGAAUGAGCUGAACUGUGUGAACGGCAGAGAGGCAAAUCCAGAUGACAAGUCAUUCUGCAGGACUGCUGGCCCAGCCUCACUGCUAAGUGAGCAGGAGCCAUAGCAGGCAGUGCAGAGAGCAACGAACUGUAAAAUCUCACUAACAUGUGGUGAGGUAGUGUCUCAGGAAAAUGGCUUGUACAAGGCAUUUCUGGAAUCGACCAAGUAAGCUUCUAUGUGGUUAUGUGUUUACACAAAAUAAAAUUAUUAAAAAAGGAAGGUAGACAUUUUAAAAAGAAGUUCAGAAACAGGUGCAGAGGGCCAUGCUAAGUUCUACCAUAGUUCCCUUCGGUUGUCCACUUGACAUAUCUGGAAAGAGGCAUCUUCAAUGAGGAGGGAUUGCCAUUAUCAUACAGGCCUUUGGGCAAGAGGGUCCACCCUACUAUGGGCAGUGCCAUCCCGGGAUGAGUGGUCCUGGGGGGGCUGAGGAAGAAAGCCCGUAAGCAGCCCUGCCCUGCCAUCUCGGCCCUGUUUCCUGUAUCCAGGUUCCUGUCCUGGCUUCCCUUCAUGAUGACCUGUAAGCCAAGCAAUGUCCCUUACCCCUGCCCUGUCACUGCUGGUCAUGGUGCUUAUAACAGCAAGCUGGGACAGGUUUUAACAUCAGUAAUCUGAGCAGUGGGAAUAUAGAACAUAAGUGGUUUUUGCUUCUUUAAACUUUUAAUUUUUUAGCAGUAUAUCUAUAGGAUUAAAAGGCAUUAGAAUCUUGAAUACAAUGUAAGUUAGGCCUGCCGCACAGUGGAUUUGUCUAAAUCUAGGAAGGCUGGCUAUUCAUAGAGAGCAAUCUCAGCCUCAGCUGUUGCCAACGAUGUUUAAAAUAACGAGUUUGGGGGAAAGAGGAGCUUAUGAAUCCUUACCCGGUUCCUGACUUCCGGGGUAUUGGGAAUUACAGACACACAGUUGUGUUUGCACGCAGGGACUGAAGUGGAAGUAAACAAAUCUUUAUAUUUGAAGAUGGAGUUAUGAGAGGGAGGGAGGGCAGCCAAAUUCACGUAAACUCAGAGAAGUUCUGCUACUCACACACAUGGAAAGCUGGCUUUCACUGGAAGCCAGGACUCAUGCUUCUGAAAUACGAAAUUAUCAGAACAGCUAAGUGGGUAUUUAGCACAGACAGCAUAUUUAUGGAAUUGGAUUUUAAUGGGGGCAGGAUCCUAAUACCGUAAGAUUUCACAGCCUUAUUUGCUCAGCAUUGAAUGGCUGGAGUCAGAAGGAAGUGGUCAGCAGUCAUUCUCCCUAGCAAACCCGUAGAAGCAAUUCUUUCCAUGUGAACAUGGUCGGAAGGGAAAAUCUGGCAUACUGACUGAUCACAUGGGCAUCUGCCUUUAUGGUUCCCAUGAAUUGCAUUGAUUUUUGAUGAUUGCAUUUUCCUAAGUUCUGGAACACUCCUUGACGCCCAUCACCCAGCUUCCAAAGGAAGCGAGUCAAGGCCCUUUUGACAGGGUUUUGGACCUCCCCUCACCCCCAAGUUUGGGCAGUGACCAACUAAAGGACGUGUUCUGUACUUGAUUAGCAGGUGAUAAGCAGCAGAUGUUGAGGGUUCAGGAAUCCUCAGGAAACAAAAGCUCAAAGGCGAGAUAAAGCAGCUGGCCCAGACCUAGGUGACAGUCCCCAGGGCAUGGCCUCUGGAGCUGGCCAUAUCAACAUCUAAUCUGACUAUUCUUAGAGGCAGACCAUGGAGGUCUGUGGUGGAGGGUAAGCCGAAGUGUGUGUUUAAAUACUGAGUUCCUUUCUAGAAUAUGGAGCCAUUCAAAACAAAGGCUCUAUUUAUUUUAUAACAGUUUUCCCAAUUUGCUACUCUAUGGCUACUCUGUUAGAAAUGGGAGUUAUAAGUGAUGACAUUGUAUAGAUGUAAGCUUUCAGUUUUCAGUUUAGUCCUAUAUGAUUUUAAGAGAAGUGGGCUGCGGACUGAUACUCAGUGUCUGGCCUCCUGGGACUCCUGUAGCUAAGUAAGCAAUUAGCUUGAGCUCAGUGUAAAAUAGAAAAGCAUGUCUCUGUCUGUAAGGAUAUCACCAUGUAGCAAGCUAGCCAAGCCAGUACAGCAUACUUAGGAUCAGAGUCAAGACAGGAUAUGGCUGCAAUUUACAUCUUUGUUUCCUUUACGUACUGCUUGUGGAGGAGUGUACAUGCAUGCAUGUGUGGGUGUAUAUGUGGAAGUCAGAGGGCAGCGUCUUCUAUCAGUCUCUUCAUUGUUAUUGUUAUUGUUAGUUUUUGAGACAAGGUCUUUCACUUAACCUGGAGCUCACCAUUUUAACUAGAGUAGCUGACCGCUGAGCACCCAGAAAUUCACCCCUUUCUGUGCCUGGUAAACUGAGGAUCUGAACCUAGGUCCCCAGGCUUUCACAGCCAUUACUUUACCCACUGAUCUGCCUCCCCAACUGACGUGGCCAAGUUUUAGGUGAAUUGUUAUAAACCAGCAGACCCCAUAUUAAUAAGGGGCUCAGGGGUUUUGCCUUCAUCCUCUCCUCUGAAUUGGAAGCAGUGCGCAUGUGCCAAGGAUCGUUAAUCAAAUGGAAAAACAAUACUCAGGUCUUACUUAGAGCAGGUUUGUUUUAUAUGAAAAACUGUGCCUUUAAUAGGAAAAUGAAGAGAGUAACAGCUGCUGUUAGGGUGUGUGGGUCCCCACACUUCUGCAAGGGACCUGAGGAAGACUCAGAGUCCGCUGCUCAUGGGCCAGCACUAAGCUCUGAAGGGCUCUGAAGGGCUCCCACAGCAAUUUAGAUCCCAGGCUCUAAGACUUGGCUAACACAUCAUGUCUCUGAAGUGUUAACAACUCCUGUGUGUUAAGAGCAGGCUAUUUCAAAUACUCACAACACACAUGAUAUUUUACUUAAUUAGAAACACAUUCCAUAUCAUCUUAUAACUUGACACUGUCACUGGAAAACAAAGCUUCAGUUUUUACUCUAUGUAUCAACAGAUAUAGAUGAACCACGCUCUUUAAAAUUAUUCUACAAUGUGGAUAUUCUAUAUUAUUUCCAACCACCUCUUAGGUGUGCUAAGUUUUCCUGUUCUACACAUGACCAGUAGACACCCUAUGUACACACACAUGUACAUGCUUAUGUGAAUAUUUAUAGAAGAUAAAUUCAUAAACAUAAAAUUUCUAGGCAGCAUGCAUGAUAGAAAUUUUAAUAGCUAUGGCCGAAUUAUUCUCCAAAAUGGUUUACUCAUUUUUCCUCCCAACUACACUAUAUUUUCCCCACAGUGUCUAUUAAUCUUUAAAAUCCUAGUCAAACUAAUGUAUAAAAAAAGUAUAUCAUUUUAUUUUUGUUCCUUUGAUAUAGAGGAAGAUGGAAUAUCAUUUUAAAUAUUUACUGACAAAAUCUUUUCUCCCUUUGGGAAAAUCUUGUUUAUAGAUAAAAAUUUCCCCUAGAAUGUUUAUAUAUUUUUAUAGAUUUGGAGGAACUUUUUUAUGAUAAUAUUAAUCUUUUGUUGCAAAUAUUUCUUCUAGUAAGACAUCUUUUAUGUGAAUAUGAUAUCUGCUCCAUAAGGAUGUUUUAAAAAAAUCCUUUGUGUAUAAAAAGUCUUAAAUAUACCCUUUCUCUCUCAAAAUAGAAUUCCUUUUAAAAAAACACACCCUGCACACUUGGUUUAUUGUUUCCUGGACAUUACAAUUUCUGUUUUGUGUUUUGGUGUUGUUGUUGUUGUUAAAUGCUAUGACUGAUUCUUGCUAUUCCAUAGGCCGCACAGUGACCGUAGCACAUUGAUUCUGAAUUUGGAUGUUUUAAUUAGUUCUCUAUUAGCUCUAAUAGUAUUCAGAAUUAGUAGUUUUAAAAUCUCCUCUUUAGAGAAACAUUACCAAUCAUAAAAAUUCCAUUUUCAUGUAUUUCCUUUUAAUACUUCCUAGAUGGCCCCUGUUCAGAUUCCACUGCCUUCAGGAAGUCUCUCACUGUGCUUGAUGCCAGCACUUGCUACUCAGUUUUAAGGGAACAAUUCUAAACCUGCCUUACUGAUAUUAACCUUAGAUUUCCAGGAGACAAGUUUUCACUGAGUUAAGACGUUCCUUUUACACUCUAGCUUGCUAAGACAUAGCCAAAAUUAAAUUUGAAUCUAAACAGCUUUUAAGUUCACUGAAAGAAAAUAUAAUUCAAUUAUUUAAAUAGAAGCAAAUGCUCCCUUGUCCUGUAACAUCUAAACGCCAUAUGCUCACUUCAUGAAGACAGGCCAAGGGGCUGACGAGGACACUGGAGUCAGUGUACGUGGUGAGGAUUAGAAUUAGAAACAGGUUUUGGAGCAUAUAAAAACAAUGACAUAUUUAUGGUUAACACAGAUUCCCUCACCUUGAAAUCAUCGGGAAUGAGGAGUUUUGAUGUUCGUAGAAAAUUCAAGAUAUAUCUGAACAUCUGCCCGUCUCUGUCAAUGAAAUAGUGCUGUUUGAGACUGUCCAGGACAAUGGGCUCUGUGCCAUCGAAGAGUCUUCCGAUUCUGCGACGAGAGAGAGAGAGAGAGAGAGAGAGAGAGAGAGAGAGAGAAGAGCAGAGAGAGACAGUCAGAUCAGCCGGCCACUUCUGCCUGCAGUCACCAUCAGCACUUCUGCGGGGGACGUCAGCAGCGACAGCGGCCUCUGAGAAGUGCUGGUCUCUGUGUGAUAAAUAUUCUUAGGGUGAGAAAGUCAGACUACUCUCAGGAUUGUUCGGACAUGCGCCUGCCUUUCUUCUCUGCCUCUCACCUGCCUCUCCCCUGCAAAGGGAACGUCCCGACACCGUGAUCCCAUCCUCAUGACAAGAGGCUGUCACCGUGACUGAAGAACUCGCCUUUCUCCAGUGGUACUCACUUCUGCUGCCUGCAAAAUGUUACUUCUCCUGCAUGUCUUUUUUUUUUUUUUUUUUUUUUUUUGGUUCUUUUUUUCGGAGCUGGGGACCGAACCCAGGGCCUUGCGCUUCCUAGGUAAGCGCUCUACCACUGAGCUAAAUCCCCAGCCCCUCCUGCAUGUCUUUUAAACCCACUCUACUUUAAAAGGUGUUCUGUUUUAAAGAACUGUGUUCCAGCAUUUUCCCAACUCAUAAGUUCCAGGCUUCUAAAAAUACAGCAAUAGAGUGCCAACAGCUAGCUAGUGACACCGAAAGCACACCAGAAAACAGAAUUAUGUGUUCUUUACCACAGUUCAUUUCACUUCUCACUAAGAGUAUGGCUAUCCUACUAGUAUUUCUUAAAUACCCCCCCCCCCCGAUCUUAUAACAUGCCUGUCUCAGUUUAGGAAUAUUAUUUAUUGCUAUAAAGAUUAUUUUGAAAUCAUACAUUAUCUAAUCGUAUGUCGAAAUGUGACAAAGGUCACAAAAAAAAAAUCAAGUAUUUACCCCUUAAACAUGACAAAUCAUAUUUCCCUCUCCUCUGAUAUCAGUCAUGUGAAUUUUUGUUUCACUAAAAAUAUUUUAAAGAUAAUUCUAAAACUCACACCCUAUCCAAAGGUGGCUCAAAAAAAAACCAGAGGAGGGCUGCAUUUCCCGACCAUGGUUAAGAUUUUUUUCCUGAGCUUCCAUGGGCUGCACUGAUUCCAUGGGGUGCAGAUUACAACCACCCUGGGACUCUCUGGCUGUCUGUUAUUCCUCAUUGACACGUCAAUCAAACAGACAAACCCACUGAGUCACGUCCGUGCAGGCUUUUCAGGACAGCCUGCUGCAGGAUGGGAUAGAAGGAGGCUUGCUUGCCUCUUAUUGAAACGUUUAACUCUUCCCUUAAUAAGAUGACAAACACAUGCUUGACAGGGAAAGAAGGGAGGCUGCAUUAACCAAGUUCCUUCCUGGAAGUCUUUCACUGUCCUCAGCACCUUGUACGUGUAACAAAUACACUGUCCUCUUCUUAACGAUGAAGAAAUCCAUUUGAAAGCUUGAGAAACUGGCCUGACUAGUUAGAGAUGUGGAGGAGGGGUCGGCUGCUUCUAAGAAGGGGGCCUCCUCACACCCAUGAGACUCAAAGCACUGUCACUGAGCAGUGAACACUUUGGGCUUAGAGUUGUUUCUGUCUAUAUUUGUUAAAUAAGAGCUUUAUAGUAAUGAAGUCCAAGCCGCUACACUGAUUAAUUUAGGGGCCUGAAAUAAAUCAGUAUCAAUGGUUUCAUCACUUUAUUAAACAGAGACGAAAAGUAUCUUGUCUUAGUUUAGCUGUGGUGGUCUUGCAUACGAACUCCCAAGCCUACACCGGAAGUGCACAAGCACAGGAUGGGUCACUAGUACGUAGGCACCGAAUAGGUGCAGACAAGAGCUGCUCGCUCCUGAAUGAGGAGAGUGGAACAGGAAUGUGGCUUGGCCAGUCACUAGCUAUAACGUGGACGCAUGGCCUUCCUGGUAUCUCUAUUUCUUUUUUACAAAAUUAUCUCAUUUUUAAAAAUGAGCUUUUAUUUCCUCCUGGUUGAUGAGAAAACCCCAGUAAGUCAUGGUGAGCUCAGAAAGUGCACAGUUGUAGAGAUAUUCCAAGAGCGUCAACAUCUCUAUAUUUAUUAACUUAUUAAAACAUGUUAAUAAAUUAACUUAAUAAUAUAGAAAUACAGGUGUAAUUAUCUACCUACUAAUUUUCUAGGCUCUACCUAAGAAAGAAAAUGCAUCAUUAGCUUUUGACCUCUGCAAAUUAGGAAAAAGUGUCCCUGAAAUAGCUCUUAGGGUGUAAAAACAGGAAACGUGGCACGGGUACAACAGAAGUAUUGUGGGAAGAUGAGAAAUUAAAAAAAGAGAGAGCGGGAAGAAAAGCUGAGCAGCCCAGCCCAGCCAAGGCAGAAUCUAAAUGCUUAGGCAAGGCCGUGGGCAGUGAGAAUAAGUCUCCAGGGAGAAACAGGUGGAACUGACCACUAGGACAGCAGAGGUGGAAAGCCAGUCAGGGCUGCAAGGGGCAAGAAGACCCAAGUCCUGCACCGAAGCUCUCAUCCUUAGAGAUAUUCCCCCCUCCUCGAUCCCUGCAACGGCCAAGUCACUUGCUGCUGGCCUUGGAACCUUUAUCCUGACCUAAGAUCGGGAAGGUGGAGGAGCACUGGGCAACCGGAAGCGGAAGGGAAUAGGACAGCUACUGGGACGGACCAAGUAGGGAAGGACUGGCUCCAAGUUAUGGGAACUAGCAAAGGCUGGGUAGGCGGUGGAUAUGCUCCCAGGAGUCCAGGGGCAAAGAGUCCAAAGGCAAAGAAGGGCACGAACCCUUGGGUGGAGGAAAGCUAUGGGAAGCCAUGGGCUGUUUAGGGCAGAAAGGGCUGCAAGAGAGGGGAUAGAGACUGGAAAGAAUUUGAGAGGACUAUAAAGCGGCUGGGGCCUUGGAUACAUAUUCCCCAGCAAGGCAAAAGCCCUCCCAAGAGGAAGUUCGCGCCCUCUCUCAGCCACAGAUGUUACAAGUAAAAUGAGUGCAGUGUGUCACUUUCUGCAGACCUUAAAGGAGGAACUGUGUAAAAACAGCAGAAGGGGAGGGAAGGAGGUGCCAGCAACCAAAGAUGUUGUCUCCCGGUGGGUUUUGAGAUUGAGAAGAUUGUGCUGUGGAAAGUAUUGUUUGGCUAAGUAAAUAAAGGGGGGCACUGACAGGGCGGUAUUUCUCACAGACAUAUGAAUGGAGUUACAAAUCACCCUGCAGUGCUGGGUAAACGCUGCUGCCUGGAAACUGUGUGGGACUGAUUACAGUGUACAGCCCUUGGAAAACAUUCCUGGUUUCCAACUGACCAAGACCAUGCUGCCUCCACAUGAUAUAUGGCUGGGGGUUUCUUUCUCUCUCCCUUUAAAAUAUAAACUCAGCGGACCAAACGGUGAUGCUGAGACAGACUUCCAUGGUGUUUUAAGGGCUAAUCACCAUUUUAACUAGUAUUUUAUGUGUUUCUUUAAAAAGAAUUAUUUUGGAUAAUGUCAAUGUCACACCAAAGCAGACAGAAUAAUAGAAUGAAUCCCCUAAGUGAAGACACCCGCACCCCAGUUUCAAAGCCUGUCAGUUCUUAAUUAAUCUUCCAUGUGUACCUUCAUGCCUCACUGGGCCUUCCUGGGAGUUUCGAAGUAAAUUCCAAACAUCAUAUCAUUUUAUCUGAAUGUUUCAUUAAUUGCUAACGUUAUAAAGGUCUGUUAAAAUAGGAAGUAAAUAAUGUUGAAUAUUAUUUUUCUUCGGAACUUUUGCAUAUGAGCACUGUGGAUUCCUUUUGCUUACUACUCUGGGCAGAGCCUACUGUGGAAGCCAGACUCCUUUGGGUGAAAAGUCGGUAUGGUUUCCUGCUAUGAUGGGUUCCUCGGGAGAGCUGUGUUACAGCUAAAGUAAAAUCUGAUUUACCUAGGUCCGUAUGGAUCAGUCAUUAAGACCGUCUUCUGCCUUCAUUCAUACGUAGGCCCUGGUUUCUGUAAUGUACUGACUCAGUUUCUUAAGAGUUUUCCUUUGUUUUUGUGUCAUUGUUUAGUUAUUCAUUCAGAAUCCACUGAACUUGACUACCAGUAACAGGUCUGGGGGUGUGGGAGGGUGUGGGUAAGACACAGUCCUUGCUUUUGUGGAAUUUAAUAGUCUGUGUGUCUGGAAGCAUGGUCAAGUGUAGCAUGACCGAGUAAAUCACUCACUGUGUGGAGUCGACAUAAGGACAGAAAGGAGACGUACCUACCCCAUUAAACUCAACUGUGGGUUAGCAGGGAAGAAAGCCGAGGUCUCUGGAGUCUUGACGUUAGUCAAGGACAGGACCAGGAGGGAAGGGUAGGAGAGGGCACAGGAGAUAGAAAUAGAAAAGCUUGAAGCCAGAAAAAGUUUCCCGUGUGACUUCUAUGCUGAAUCAGGCUGACUGAAAAAUGAGGCCUAAGCGACAGAAGCUAUACAGUGAAGGGCCGGUCGGUGCGUCCAUGAUGGGAUAUAGAGCUGCUUUGCGGGGGUUGGAACUGGUGGCAGGUGGUUCUCCAGGAAAUCUCAAGUGCAAGAACAAACUUAGAAAGGAGACAGAAGUGAGACACCAUACUCCUCAUGGCCAGAGCUCAUCCAAACCCUGCGUCUGUGCCUGCUUUUGACAGUGUCAUGUGGAUGGUGAUGUGGUUCUCAGUCCUGGCUGACAUUGAAAAUCCCUGGUAACUUUUGAAAAAUACUGAUCUCAGGGCCCCCCAAGUCAUUAUGGUGUGAUUCAGAAUAAAGACUAAAUGGCUGGGGUUUUUGAAAGCUUUCCAAGUUUGUGUGUUCAUUUGUUUGUGAGACAGGACCUCACCAUGUAGUCCAGGCUGGCCUUGAACUCACAGAGAUCUUCCUGUCUCUGCCUCCUCUCCUAAGUGCUGGGCUUAAAGGUGUGUGCCAUCACAAGCACAGUGGGCAACCCUGAACUUUUCCUGAUCCUCUUUCCCUUCUUUCUUCUAUCCCUGGAAUGCUAGGAUAGGGUGCACACACCACAGUAGUUCUCACUAAGCUGAAACUUAGUGUCAAAGAGGAGGUUACAGAACUUGCUCAAGUCCCAUGCUCCUGGAAUGCUUUCAGUUAGUCAUUUUGUUAUCUUAAACUGUCAGAACCCUCCCUCCAAUAGCCGUCCACACUUUCAGAAAUGAAAGACUUGACCCAGUUCAACCUCUUGUUUUAUAAAUAUAGCAACAAUCAUAAAUCUAUCAUACAAGUUGGCUAGGCACAGAGUUUCUCUAAAUCUCAUCUGCUGCCCCAUGGUGGCCAGCAGAGACAGGCACAUUCAUGCCCCUGGAGGGCUACUAUUCUAAGGCUAGUUACGAGGAGUUUCCACCACUCAAUGACCUAGACAUCUUACAGGCCUUAUCUUGCUUAGCCCAUCCUACAGUGAUCCCCACAGGUAGCCUUAGCUUCUCAUCUCAUGGGAAGGAGAGAGCCCAGAUGGGGCUUGAGUGACAACCUUGGUCUGACUUAAAAGCUUUCCUUGAUCACUAUGUACACUGCCUCUUCAUGGAUGCUUUAAAAAAAAUCAAAGAGCUUCUUUUAGGACAUGCACAAUUGUUAUAGUUUGAUAUGCUGAUAGCCCAAGAUGUUAUCUUGUAAUUAUCUAUUAUGUAGGGAAAAUGGUUUACUUAAUAUCUGGGGUAUAAAAAGCUGAGAUCUGGGGCUUCUAGUCAAGACCAGUGAAGGAAGUGGUGUGUAAUGAGGUUACCACAUUCCAAGUCAAACUAAAAAGACACCCCAAGACUUCUGCGGUUACUGCCAAUAGUAAAACUGAGGAGGGUCACAGGUAGGGACGGGAGCUGAGCCUUGGCAGAGUGGUGAAAAGUGCCCGUGGGACAGGGACAGAACUGAUUCUGCUUACUUUGUCACUACUGUCCUGGACACAUUGUGUCCUUCACUGAAUCUGGAACAUUCCCAUGGGGUUUAUGGCUUUACAGCUGUGGAAACUCAUGCCGGGAGGUUCCCAUCCUUACUGAGGCCACCUUCAGUCCCCAGUUCUCUAUACCCUGUCCUUUCCACCCAGUAGACACCUAGUCAUAUGCUGUUUCACACGUGGGACAGGAUGCCACACUCUGUUUACCUAGGGACACAUGGGACAACCCUUCCAGGUCACUUAACCCGGACUGCCACUGUAGCUCUAUGUACAGUUUCUGUAGGACGGAUUGAACAGAGAGGGUGAGAAAGACCCUUGGGGAAUGAAAUGCUAAGACUGACCAGGGGGCAGUGGGGAGGAAAGGCAGAGAAGUACACUAGGUGGGCAUUUAUACCCACGCAGGAGGAAAACAUGGUUUGGACUUGGAGAAAGAUUCCAUCUAGUUUCUGGUCCAGAUUUAUUUUGCUGGCUACCAGAUUCAGAGGCAACUCCCAAAUGAUCUCUUUAGCAUUUAGGGAUAUUUUAAAGUUAUAAAUGGUAUCUAUUCAUUGAGAGUUGGGAAAGUAUGGAGGGUGGAAAUGUUAGCUGAACAUAAAAUCUAUUGAAAGACCCCAGCUUAGCAGCAGUAACGCCAUUUUGCAAGGCUGUACUUAAGAUGACUGGUUCAGGGAAAGGUUAGAACACUGCGUACACAGCGGCUGCCAAGCAGGAUGUGUAUGGUUGAAGGCCUGGCAACAGGACCACUGCGGUUGAGCACCUGACAAUGAGAAAAGCCCCGGGAGAGGUCCCACACCCUGGUGGGGGGCCGAGUCAGUCGUUAUGUUCCAGGAAGGUAGCUAGGAAACUUGCCCCCGGGCUGAACCCUUGCCACAUUAGAAUCCACCAAUUAUAUCCCUGUAACCAUGCAUCUGCUUCUGUAUGCUUGCUUCUGCUCCCCAGAAUCCUAUAAAAAGCCCAUCCUUGGUUCCGUGGGGCGCGCCAGUCCCCCGAGUGACUGAAGCGCCCACAGGUGCCUGUGUAUCCCGACAAUAAACCAAAUCCUCUUGCUGAUUGCA